AUUGAACGCUGGCGGCAUGCCUUACACAUGCAAGUCGAACGGUAACAGGUUAAGCUGACGAGUGGCGAACGGGUGAGUAAUGUAUCGGAAAGUGCCCAGUCGUGGGGGAUAACGUAGCGAAAGCUACGCUAAUACCGCAUACGAUCUACGGAUGAAAGCGGGGGAUCGCAAGACCUCGCGCGAUUGGAGCGGCCGAUAUCAGAUUAGGUUGUUGGUGAGGUAAAAGCUCACCAAGCCUGCGAUCUGUAGCUGGCCUGAGAGGACGACUAGCCACACUGGAACUGAGACACGGUCCAGACUCCUACGGGAGGCAGCAGUGGGGAAUUUUGGACAAUGGACGCAAGUCUGAUCCAGCAAUGCCGCGUGCAGGACGAAGGCCUUCGGGUUGUAAACUGCUUUUGUACGGAACGAAACGGUGAGCUCUAAUACAGUUUGCUAAUGACGGUACCGUAAGAAUAAGCACCGGCUAACUACGUGCCAGCCGCCGCAGUAA
rnacentral:rRNA from 1 species